AGAUUGAAAGAGUAAACAUGUUUCUGUCAGAGCAGUAUGAGAUUUUCAGAAACAGUUUUUAUUGGUGUUGUGUUUCAGUCUGUGUGAGAAUAAAUCUCCUGAACCCAGCUGUGUGUCCAUGAAGAGUGACGCGUCAAUGAGUCCUCCACUUAAAUUCAGCUCGGGAGACUCAUCUGCUGAUCUGAGUCAAAAACAUGAAGGACCAGAAUCACAUACAGCAAAGAAAAACUUAGACUCCAUUUUCAAGGAGCUUGAGCACAAAAUCAUCUCUGAGUUAAAAAGCUUUAAGAGACUACUGAGUCCAGAUUACUCAGAAAUGCCUUGAAAGAGA